UUCACAGCCAAAGCCUCCCCUGAUAGCAUGCCUGUGGGGAAAAGAGAGACACCUUCUCGUUGUUGCCAGCCUCACAAUUGAUAUGGACAGGAGACAGGGAAAUACUGGGUAGAAGAAGGCAGUUCCCCGGCAAAGGCCCCAUCCUCAAGCCUGGAGACCAACAGCCCUAAGUGGAGACAGCAUUUCUGUUUUCAUGCCCCAAAAAUUACCUUUUGGCCUGCCAUGCCUCACUAUCCUGCACCCAUAUAAAUCCCAAACCCCACGCUCCAGAAACAGAGAAGCAGGCAAGGAAACAAGACAAGCAGACAAAUGGAAGAACAACACAGCAGAGAAAGAGAGAAGAGGAGGAACGUCUGAAUGCUGAGAGGAGUUCAGCUGGGGGUGGUAGGAGAGGAGUUCAGCUGCUGGAUAGCCAGGCUCCAGGGGAAGAUCAUCUUCCCACUCCAUUCCCUCUUCCGGCUCCCCAUCCAUCCUGCUGAGAGCCACCUCCAUCACUCAAUAAAACCCCACAUUCAACCUUCA
rnacentral:lncRNA from 10 species